rfam:Canis lupus familiaris chromosome 11, whole genome shotgun sequence.
CAGGACCCGCUUCCCUCGUCGCUGAGGCAGGACCGGCUUCGCUCAUGGCCGCGGCAGGACCGGCUUCCCUCGUCGCUGAGGCAGGACCGACUUCC